UACAGAGGUCUCAAGCGUUGUUCGGAAUUACUGGGCGUAAAGGGCGCGUAGGCGGUCUGUUAAGUUCGGUGUGAAAGCCCCCGGCUCACCUGGGGAACUGCGCCGGAAACCGACAGACUCGAGUACCGGAGAGGAGGGUGGAAUUCCUGGUGUAGCGGUGAAAUGCGUAGAUAUCAGGAGGAACACCGGUGGCGAAGGCGGCCCUCUGGACGGAUACUGACGCUGAGGCGCGAAAGCGUGGGGAUCAAACAGG
rnacentral:rRNA from 1 species